rnacentral:rRNA from 1 species
GCGAAUGGGUGCGUAACACGUGGGUGACGUACCCCGAAGUGUGGAAUAACAGCUCGAAAGAGCUGCUAAUACCGCAUGUGGUCUUGGUGUUUAGAAAUCCAAGUCUAAAGUCGUAAGACGCUUCGGGAGCGGCUGCGGUCCAUCAGCUAGUUGGUAGGGUAAUGGCCUACCAAGGCGACGACGGAUAGGGGACCUGAGAGGGUGGCCCCCCACACUGGCACUGACACACGGGCCAGACGCCUACGGGUGACAGCAGUAAGGAAUAUUGCGCAAUGGGCGAAAGCCUGACGCAGCAACGCCGCGUGCACGAUGACGGCCUUCGGGUUGUAAACCUCUUUCAGCAUCGACGAAGCGCAAGUGACGGUAGAUGCAGAAGAAGCACCGGCCAACUACGUGCC